rfam:Eubacterium uniforme strain ATCC 35992 genome assembly, contig: EI43DRAFT_scaffold00015.15
GGGCUAGUACUGGUUUCGACGGGGACCAUGAAGGUGGAGAAGCGAGCCGGAGUGAAUACGUUACAUUCUAAAACUUAAAUAUAAACGCUAACGAAAAUUUAGCUUACGCUGCUUAAUUAACGCAGCAGUCUUACCCUUUGCACCUACACUUAGGGAUUAAGGCUUCAUCUAUGUAGGAAACGACUGUAUCAAAGCUUUGAGAUGCAGGGCGUAUUAUGAAGCUACUGAAACUAAUUGGUUGUUUGUUCCUUGUUAGUGGAGGGAAUGUUAAAGAAUAAACUACGCUCGUAGAAGUACAGUGAAUUGAUUUUCGGACAUGGGUUCAACUCCCAUCUAGUCCAUUU